rnacentral:misc_RNA from 1 species
GUAGGUGAACCUGCGGAAGGAUCAUUAUUGAUUUGAAAUCGAGGUUGUUGCUGGUUCUCUCGGGAAUAUGUGCACACCUUGACCUUCUAUUCCACACCCCUGUGCACUACCGUAGACCAAAGGUGGGUGUAAAAAACCUACUGGAGGACUAUGUAUUUUUAUUAUAAACGAAUGUCCAUGAAUGUCUUCUAUCUUUAUUGCCCUAAGAAAGCAAUACAAGUUUAAAUACAACUUUCAACAACGGAUCUCUUGGCUCUC